GACAAUAAAGGUUAGCCACCACUCGGCCAUCACACUCCCACUUGGCACUUCCUUCCAUUCUGAGCACACCAGAAUCGUCCUUGGGUACAGAAAGCUAAGAAAGACCCCUUUCUUGUUCCUGGCUGCUGUGAUUAACUGCUCUGUGCCAAGAUGCUCCUACUGCAAUGGACUGAUCUGCAUAAAAUGAUAAAUCUCCUUCGCCUUAGGUUGGCUGAUGGCCCCACGAAACAGAAUUGUUCCAGGGACGAAGCCUUUGAUGGAUUGGCUGCUCUGCUGGCUGCUUUGGUAGAAUGGGUCAUAAAUAUUAACAGGCUGACAAACAUGUCAUGUCACACCUGUGACCAAGAAACACCCAGGCUUCUACCACUUUGUUCUUUUGAUAGACACCAUCUCCUUCUCUCCUGAACUUGCUCUGAUGGGUCUAUUCCUCCACCACCCUCCUCAGAGGACCAGGGUUCAGUUCCCAACACCCCUAUCAGGUGCUGGAAAGAUAGAUGUCACCAAGUCCUCCGGCACCCUUCAUCCUCUGAUGAGGAAAUCAGGUGAGGACACCAGAAUACCUAUUGGUGAUGGAACCUAUAAGGGGAGGAUGAAGGGCAGCUAGCAAGAAAGGGAUUAGGGAAGGACUCCUAGAAUUCUGAAUGAAGAGGAGCCAGCAGCAUUUGUAAAGCAAAGGAAGAGUGUUUCCAGCCACAGGAAGAGGCAAGACAGAGACUCAGAGAUGCAGAGGUUAUUAUUAAAAAAUAAUAAUAAAUUAAAAAAAAAA
rnacentral:lncRNA from 1 species